GAUGAACGCUGGCGGCGUGCCUAAUACAUGCAAGUCGAGCGAACGGACGAGAAGCUUGCUUCUCUGAUGUUAGCGGCGGACGGGUGAGUAACACGUGGCUAACCUACCUAUAAGACUGGGAUAACUUCGGGAAACCGGAGCUAAUACCGGAUAAUAUUUUGAACCGCAUGGUUCAAAAGUGAAAGACGGUCUUGCUGUCACUUAUAGAUGGAUCCGCGCUGCAUUAGCUAGUUGGUAAGGUAACGGCUUACCAAGGCAACGAUGCAUAGCCGACCUGAGAGGGUGAUCGGCCACACUGGAACUGAGACACGGUCCAGACUCCUACGGGAGGCAGCAGUAGGGAAUCUUGCGCAAUGGGCGAAAGCCUGACGGAGCAACGCCGCGUGAGUGAUGAAGGUCUUCGGAUCGUAAAGCUCUGUUAUUAGGGAAGAACAUAUGUGUAAGUAACUGUGCACAUCUUGACGUUACCUAAUCAGAAAGCAACGGCUAACUACGUG
rnacentral:rRNA from 1 species